AUGUCAGGGGCAUCAACAAGUGCCUACAGCACAAUAAGAAGGUUAUGAAUCUUAACAUUUGAUGUAUUGGCUACUAACAGUCAAAUUGGUUAGCAGUUAAUCAAUGUGAAUAAGAAGUCAGGAAGUAAAGGAAUGAAAAGGUUGAGUGUGAAGAAAAAUCACAAAAAGGCGCCUUAAAAACUAGUUUGUAAGCCAGAAGAAUUAUGCAGGGACAGCACAGUCAAUCUAGCAGGGAGCAAAAAUCUGGUGAUGAAUUUAAAAUUUCUCCAUCAGCAUAUAUAAUUUUGGGAUACAUAAUAACAAUCCAACAAACCCAGAUUCAGGCUUCUACAGCUGAAGAUAUCUAAUUGAUCAGUGAACCUCAAUCUUUUUCUGCCCCCACACAAGUCAUAACAAAAAUUAUUGUUUGAAAACAAAAUAAAGAAAUCCAAAGCACCAGCUCCAAGAAAGAUGGUUACUGACUAAAACAGCAUCUUGAACAGAAAGUGAAAUUCCAUUACGACAAGUGCCAGAAACAAAAGAAACAACCUAGAAAAACACAAUCAGAAAAGGAUGUUCUUGAUCCACUUUUUUACCAUUUUCUCUUGGGGGAUGGCGGCUAUGACUGUAAGAAUGCCAAGUAUUAAAAUCUAAUGGGCAAAUAUAUUAUAUCCAUUCAACUAUCCAACUGUAUUUUCAGACCCAAACCAGCCCAGUUAGUUCAACCAGAAAAACAGGGAACCGAUCCAUUGGUCCUCAAAGCCCUUUUUUCAAAAACCUGUUAAAAUAAACCCUCUGAACCGGCCGAAGAAAAAGGUGAACUGGUUGACUCAAAUCGGUUUUGGGGUCUUAUUCAAAAAAGAAAAAAAAAAAAGAAGCCGUAAAU
rnacentral:misc_RNA from 1 species